AUCGUCUGAGAGGUUUUACAGUGUGAUUUCUAAGUGUAAUGAUCCGGUUUUCACACUGUUAUGUGAGGUGUGCCUCCCUCAAACCUUUUGAGCACAUUACUGUCUGACG